rnacentral:rRNA from 1 species
AUUGAACGCUGGCGGCAGGCCUAACACAUGCAAGUCGAGCGGAUGAAGGGAGCUUGCUCCUGGAUUCAGCGGCGGACGGGUGAGUAAUGCCUAGGAAUCUGCCUGGUAGUGGGGGAUAACGUCCGGAAACGGGCGCUAAUACCGCAUACGUCCUGAGGGAGAAAGUUGGGGGUCUUCGGACCUCACGCUAUCAGAUGAGCCUAGGUCGGAUUAGCUAGUUGGUGGGGUAAAGGCCUACCAAGGCGACGAUCCGUAACUGGUCUGAGAGGAUGAUCAGUCACACUGGAAGUGGGACACGGUCCAGGGUCCUACGGGAGGCAGCAGUGGGGAAUAUUGGACAGUGGGGGAAAGCAUGAUACAGCCAGGCCGCGUGUGUGAAGAAGGUCUUCGGAUUGUAAAGCACUUUAAGUUGGGAGGAAGGGCAGUAAGUUAAUACCUUGCUGUUUUGACGUUACCAACAGAAGAAGCACCGGCUAACUUCGUG